rnacentral:misc_RNA from 1 species
GAAGUGCGAUAAGCAAUGCGAAUUGCAGAAUUCCGCGAAUCAUCAGAUCUUUGAACGCAAAUGGCGCCAGAGGGAUAUCCUUUUGGCAUGUCUGUUUCAGUGUCUGAGAGGUUUCAUCUAUAUCUUAAUGUGAUUGACGAGGAGAGUUUCAAAAGAACAUCUCUAGUCUCUCAUGAAAGAUGCGCGAGUGGAUCUUUCGAUCCAAUGAAGUGGUCACAUCACUCGCAUGUGAUUUCAUUGGGAGUAUCGAAUUAUCCGUCAUCUCGUGUACUUACUUUAAACACUCCAUACCCUGCAUCUGAGAUAGGCAAGAUCACCCGCUGAACUUAA